GACGAACGCUGGCGGCGUGCUUAACACAUGCAAGUCGAACGGAAAGGCCCUGCUUUUGUGGGGUGCUCGAGUGGCGAACGGGUGAGUAACACGUGAGUAACCUGCCCUUGACUUUGGGAUAACUUCAGGAAACUGGGGCUAAUACCGGAUAGGAGCUCCUGCUGAAUGGUGGGGGUUGGAAAGUUUCGGCGGUUGGGGAUGGACUCGCGGCUUAUCAGCUUGUUGGUGGGGUAGUGGCUUACCAAGGCUUUGACGGGUAGCCGGCCUGAGAGGGUGACCGGCCACAUUAGGACUGAGAUACGGCCCAGACUCCUACGGGACGCAGCAGUGGGGAAUAUUGCAGAGUGGGCGGAAGCCAGAUGCAGCAACGCCGCGUGCGGGAUGAUGGCCUUCGGGUUGAGAACCUCUUUCAGCUGUGACGAGGCGAGAGUGACGGUAAUUGGUAAAGAAGCACCGGCUAACUACGUG
rnacentral:rRNA from 1 species